rnacentral:rRNA from 1 species
GCCGCGUGCAGGAAGAUGCCCUAUGGGUAGUAAACUGCUUUUAUACGGGAAGAAAAAGGGGCACGUGUGCCCCACUGACGGUACCGUAAGAAUAAGGACCGGCUAACUCCGUGCCAGCAGCCGCGGUAAUACGGAGGGUCCGAGCGUUAUCCGGAAUUAUUGGGUUUAAAGGGUCCGUAGGCGGGCCGAUAAGUCAGUGGUGAAAGUUUGCAGCUCAACUGUAAAAUUGCCUUUGAUACUGUCGGUCUUGAGUUAUAGUGAAGUUGCCGGAAUAUGUAGUGUAGCGGUGAAAUGCAUAGAUAUUACAUAGAACACCGAUUGCGAAGGCAGGUGACUAACUAUAUACUGACGCUGAUGGACGAAAGCGUGGGGAGCGAACAGGAUUAGAUACCCUGGUAGUCCACUGCUGCCUCCCGUAGGA